AUGCUGUGCUUGUUGAGGACAAAUAAAGUGAAUGUGCGUAUCGAUACCGCCAGCGGUUGCAAUUAAAUGUGCACCGUUAUGUACUUCUGUGCUAGCACCGAUAAUCAUAUUUGGCGUGACAUUAUCCAUCGUAUCUGGGUUACCAGCUUGACCGAUGCCCACAAUGCGACCAUCACGAAUACCAAUAUCGGCUUUGAUAAUGCCUAAUUUGGCAUCAAUAAUCAUCACGUUAGUGAUCACAAAAUCCAAUACAUUUGGAUUAUCGCGAGUUGCGGUGCCGCUUUGUGCCAUGCCAUCACGUAC
rnacentral:sRNA from 1 species